rnacentral:tRNA from 1 species
GGUGGCUCAGUGGGAGAGCGCUUGUCUUGCAUGCAUGAGGCCCUGGGUUCGAUUCCUCAGCACCA